AAAAAAAAAAAUCUCUGGACACGGGAUCGACUCGUCCUCAAAACCAAUCACAUGUAGUACAGGACUCGAGCAAGUAGACGGGCCGCUGCGUCCGCCCGCGCGGGCCGCCGCGGUUUCGAUCCCCCCGAUCCCGAUUCCGAUCCCGGCCCGCCUCCCCGAUCCUACAGCUACACUCUUGGAAGCUGUGGCCGGCGCUAGCCCCCACCCCACCUCUCUCGGUCCCUCCGAGGAGAUCGUCGAGCGCCUCCGUUCCAGGGAUCUCCAGCGGGGAUGGAUUGGUGGUUGCUUUGGGCAGCGACGACCGCUGUUUUGAUCCUUGAUGUCGCCGCACUUCCGGUGACGCGAAAGGGAUUGGGUUUCCGGUGGCAGUUGGACGGUGCGCGAGGGGAUGCGAUCAGAUCGAAUGGGAGGCGCUAGAAAUGAAUUACAUAGCGUAUUUCUGAAUCAUAUAAGACAAUGAGCCGAAUGUGGGAGGCGCAACAAAUGAAUGAUAUCGCGUAUUAUUUAUAAAUCACAAUAAACCAUAAAACAAUGAGCCGUCAUUCAGGCAAAAUCGAUGUACAGAUAACACGUAUCUAUGCCAGGUCAAAACAUCUGGUACAUGGGGUCUACCAACUACGCUCAAUUCAUCAACUGCCUGCCUAAUAAAAAUUGCUGCUUUGUUUUGAUUUAUGCUCCCCUUCCUCUCUGCUGCUCGCUGAUUUUGCAACUUAUCUUUUUUAUUUUUUAAUACUUGUCUAAUUUCUUUGUUGUGAUGUAUACUUGUAUGACUGUCUUGUGUCAUCUGCAAUUCGCCACAACUAGAAGGGAUUUUUUGAUUCCAGGGCAUGGAUCGCCUCCGAAUUUGAUAGGUGUUAUGGGAAUAGAGCACCCACUUUUACCCAAGCAAGCCUGAAAAAGAUAAAAGAAGUUAUAAAAACUAGCUAACAUGACAGAACAUUAUGGCAUAGCUGUGGAUAGCUUAGAGAUGAUUUGGCUGUGUUCUGACCUGUUUUACAACAGAUUCUGAUGAUCCUGCAUGGCAGCUUCCGAAACGAAUUUUUUUGCAGUCACCUAUAGGAUUUCCGUAGCUUGCAAACUCAAUUGCCGAGAUCUGUUUGCCUUCCUGACACCUGAGAUCUACUGCUGGUUCCUUAUUCUUGUAUUGAAGCGAUGGAGCAGAGAGCUCAUUCACAUUGACACAUACUCUUGUGACCGACACUGUGUUCACUGUUAUCUGCUGUGGGUUGCCUCCCAUUUCCUCAAAAAGGACCAGGAUAUUGUCUUGAGGGUUUAGAAAUUGUCGUGGUAUGUGAUACCUUAGGAAUGUUGGGUCAGUGAAACAUUUGCUUGUGAGAUUGUAGGGAAGGGAAGGAUAUAGUGGCGAGAGAGCGGGAGUUGGGAACUAACUCUACUUACAGAGAUUGUGAAGGAUUGCCGCUAGGAGCCUUGAAAGAGACCCAGUAUCGUCCGAUGCUCUCUCCGUUGACCCAUACUUCGCCCUUACCCAUACCAGUAAGGUUCAGUGUCACUGCGUCAUUUCCCGCGGGUGUGGAAAAUGUAGUCUGGGUCACAGAACAAAUGAUACUGAUUAUGGUUACUUUCUGUAAAUAGUGGACAGACAGGAAUUGUGAUUUGUGAGCCAUUGUCUGUACUCUAUACCUUGUACCAAGUAAGUGGGCUAUAUGCCAAAUUGUAGAUAGUUGUCCAUUCAACACUUUUUGAUCCUUCUUGUGUGUAGAUGCUAUUCCUUUCCCCAAAUAAGCCAACCUGCAUUUAGUCAGAAAACUCAAAAUCAUGCAUCUAAUAUUGGCCUCUAUUUUCAUUUCUAAUAUGAACUUUAUUUGGACAUACUUGGUACCCCCAUAGCUCGUUGUUUAGCAGAUUUUCUGGCUCUUGUCCCUGUUGUAUGCUCACUUUCUGAAGUCCAAAUACUCUCCUUUCCAUAUGAGCACCGGAAUCCUUUAAGUUAGUAGAUGAAAGCUCAGUAUAUUGAAUGCAUGUUAUUCAAUGAGAUAUAGUUUUGAAAGUUUUGGUACUUGUGCCUGACAAUAUAUGCUAUGUAAAAUAGAUGUGAUAACAACGUUUUUUUCAUGAGUUUGAUACGCCAUUUACUUUGACAAUAUAUGUUAUGUAAAGCUGAUUGGAUAACAAAGUUUUAUCACAAGUUUGAUACAAUAUUUACUUUGUAUAUGGAGAACCUAUUGGCCAUUGUAGAACAUCUUGAUCCCCACUUUUAGUUUCUCUAAUUGCUAAUUCUUUAUAGUUCACUAUGUAUAGUUCACUACAUAGUAGGGUUAUAUGAUUUAUACCGGUGAUCCAACCAUAGCACUUAGCAAUGAUAUGGUGUUUGGCCCUUCCUUUAGAGAAAUAUUCGUGUUGAGAAUGAUAUUGGCAGGUCCACCAUGGCUCCCAUGUAUUCUACCUAAAAUGUUAUGGAAAAGACUUGUAUCAAACACAAAUUAGAUAAGAGGGAACACUCCCAGAGCAAGAGCAUACAUAUAAUUUAACGCAUUAAUUGUAACAAAGAGAAUAGUGUAAUCUGGAACAUUGUAUGGUUUCAUAAAGAGAUAAAUAUACUUGAAGAACUUUGGGAAAACUACAGUAAUUUAAUAAGAUAGUAAGAUACUUGCCCACAUAUGCAUUGUUGACAAAGGCAUGCAAUAUAUGUGCUCGUGACUCAACAUUAAUCAGCACAGGCUGGUCAUCAUCACUCGGUGUAUAUUCAUAGCUGCAUUUGAGAGAGUUUUCCCUUAUCACGUGUUUAAGAUAGUGAUGAAACAAGUAACUGUGAUAAAGAAGAUCAAACGAUGAAGCAAAAGAUCUUUGGGAAACUUUAUCUUACCCAACAAUGUACCAUAGAUAAUCGGUAUCAUCUUUAGUGGUUGAUAGAUGUUCAAAGAGCCGGUUUCCACUGUACAUAGCUUUACUCACAUCUUGUGGAAUUGGUUCCUUGAAUGCCGUCCAAGUAUUAAUGUCACUGAAAGACUGCACUUCUUCAGCUGUUCUUGAUCCAUGCUGAGCAGUUACCUGUGACACACACGCAAAAAUCGGACAAUGAAGACAUCUUCCUCUAUCCUGUGGCUAUAGAGGGAAAAAAUAAAGGAUAUGCCAUAAAGGGUAUGUAGGUUUACUCACCUUAGCUGUUUCAAAAACUACUCUCUUACAGUCCGAGAGAAUGCUGAUCGAUUUGGGGGCCAGUUCCAGUGAUAUAUUACGAAAUACUACUUCUGAUAUAUGAUGCCGGUCAAAGUUGACUAGGAAAGCCACACAUUGUGAUUCUGUUUCAAAAAUAUGUGCCUGUAGUACAUCAUACAUUAUGUCCUUAUCUUGGUGGAGUCUAUUGAAAUAAAGCAUCAACUUUUCCUUUCUGUAAUUUUACCUCUUGUUCUUGACCUAAAGAAAGAUAGGAGUAUGUCCCAAAUAGUAGUGGCUCUGAUGACUGUUUUACUGCAGCAUGCAGUUCUCUGAGAUGACCCCAUGUUGGUUGCCAAAUCAAACCUGGAUAUGAUUCAAUUAAAUUUAUUAGUGUGAUAAUUUGUCAUAAGAAUUGUGUAAAUAUGUUUAGCACGCUUCUAUUUUGUGCAAAUAUUUACCAUAUUCAUCAAGAGGAGCUGCAUCAUAGUAGCUUGUUGUUACAUAUGAAGAAGCAAACCUCCCGAAGUUUGUUCCUCCAUGAUACUUUAUCAUAAUCAGUAGACAACAACAAGUCAUUUAUGAUAAUCAACAAAAAAAAUGAGAAGCUGAGAUGUAUUUCUAGGAAAUAUUCAAUUAUUUUUCAGGAAGUUAAUACCAUGUAGUAGCUCACAUAGCUUCCAUUCUUCCUUGCUAUAAAGUACACAACUGCAAAGGCGAUAUCUUCUGGAGACCUCAAUUUUGUAUCAUUACCGUAUAUAAGAUAGCUGGAUGCAUGAACACUCUACCAUUAAGCAUGUUAUAUUCCAUCACGAUUAGAAAAUGUUAAAUUAACAAGUGAAAAUAUUGUAGCACAUAUACCGUGAGGUCCAAUUUUCUGUCCAUAAUGCAGGCUUGUUAGCUGAGUUUGGUCCAACAAAUGUUUCUCCACAAAUGAGCCCGUUGCAUGUAUUGAUCUAAUCAUGAAGUUGUUAUUAGACUCGUUGGAACUUUCUGCUAGCAUUGGGGAAGUCAAGUGGAAUAGUAUGAGAAUGAAUACCGACAACUGGAUCUGGAGCAUCAUUUUGCUUGCACAUCGUCCAGGGAACACCUGUUUGUCGGUCUACAGCCAUUGCAGCUGCCCAACUGACAUAACGCUGCCCACUUGAGCCAAAUGCAUGCUCAACCAUUUGGUAUUCGUUCUCAAUCUGCAUGUAAUUUAUGUAGUUAGAUGACGUGCACGCCAAAAAUUGAUAACUUUGUUGUUUUACAGACCUGAGAAGUUAUAAUGGGGCCUCCUUGUGGGUAGUAAAGCCCUUCAUGUUUCAUCAUGUUUACUAUAUCUGUAACAAAUCUUUGCAUAUGUUGCUGCAUAGAUCAAAUGUAAGUAAUUUAGUAUGAUGCCUUAAAACAGGUUUUACCAUGAUAAAUUAUUGAUGAAAGUACUAAAGUAGUGCUUCAUUUGGAUCUUGGUAAAUUAAACCCUACUAUUUGUCUGGUCUUUCAUUUAAAAAAAAAAGAAAAAGUGAGUUUAAAAAUCCCGCAUCACAAGUUUGCUUACCUUAAAGGGUUCAUUGUCACUCCGGAAGGUAAUGUUUGGGACAUCAUGUAGCCAAAACGGAAAUCCUCUGCAUGGACCAAACAAAAGGUAUUCAGCAUUUGUUGAGGUAAUAUCCAGUUUUAUUUUACUUAGAUGUUAUUUAGUCCCUUAAAUAAUUUUUUGUGAUGCUUCUCUAAAAUAUUUUAGGUCAGCGAGAAUAUAUGCUUUAUUUGUAUUUAUUUCAUUCAUACCCAUAUUUCCAUUCGGACUCUAUGAAGGGACCAAUCCUGAGGCUUACGUAGAGGCCUUGAGCUUGAAUUUCCUUGAUGAACCUGACAAGAUCAUAUCUUCCCUCGAAGUUGUACUGGUGAAAUGAUACCAUUUACACAUCUUAGUACUUGGCGUCUCACUCACAGGAUAUUUUUCAGGUGCUUUGACAGGUGUUCAUAUGAAAAUGAGAAGAGCAUCUACCUGGCCCUGCACAGGCUCAUGAACAUUCCAGAAUACAUAGGCAACGGCGUGCACUGACCUCAGGGGUGCUUCUGGUGUAGUGCAUCUCACCGGCGAACAGCAGCCUCCUGGUGCCAUCGACUACCAAGGCCCUAGCAUCCAGCGACACCUGUCUUGGCGCCCCAUCUUCCUCCUCCACCCACCGGAUCGCUGCCACCACCGUGGCCGGUGGCAUGCACAACAAGGCUGCCAACACAGCGAGCAACGCUGUGGCGGCAAUGUUUAUUGGCAUUUCUAUGAUCACUAGGAUAUAUACUUCAGGGCCAGCUUCCAGUCUAUGCUCAAGUCAGUUGAAAGGGAGAAGCUUGUAUGCAUAUAUAUAUACUCGCUGAGACGUUGGGGAAAUCAUGCAUGCUUGUCUGCUUUAAGGGUCUCUAAUCUACUUUUUUGCCAAACCUCGUCGACGGCGCUGCAAAUUUUGGUCAAGGUAUGCAUUGCAAA